AGAGUUUGAUCAUGGCUCAGGGUGAAUGCUGGCGGCGUGGAUAAGUCACGCAAGUCGAACGGCCCGCAAGGGCAGUGGCAAACGAGGUAGUAACACGUAGGUACGUCCCCUUUAGUCGGGCACAGCUCGUCGAAAGACGGGGUAAUUCCCGAUGGUCCCGCAAGGGUAAAGGUUUUUCGCUAGAGGAGCGGCCUGCGUAGUAUCAGCUAGUUGGUAGGGUAACGGCCUACCAAGGCUACGACGCUUAGGGGAGCUGAGAGGCUGACCCCCACCGAUGGAACUGCGACACGGUCCAUACUCCUACGGGAGGCAGC
rnacentral:rRNA from 1 species